rnacentral:rRNA from 1 species
AAUGGCUCAGGAUGAACGUUGGCGCGUGCCUAACACAUGCAAGUCAACGGAAUAGCAANAUUUGAAGUGGCGCACGGGUGAGUAACACGUAGCUAAUCUACCUCAAAAGCGCGGGGAUAACGUGUCGAAAAGACAGGCUAAUACCGCAUAAGCUCGCGACCUGUAGAGGGUUGCGAGAAAAGGCGCAAGUCACUUUGAGAUGAGGCUGCGGCCCAUCAGCUAGUUGGGGUGGUAAAAGCACACCAAGGCGACGACGGGUAGGGGACCUGAGAGGGUGACCCCCCACACUGGGACUGAGACACGGCCCAGACUCCUACGGGAGGCAGCAGUGGGGAAUAUUGCUCAAUGGGCGAAAGCCUGAUGCAGCGACGCCGCGGUGAGGGAUGACGGCCUUCGGGUUGUAAACCUCUUUCAGCAGGGAAGAAGCGAAAGUGACGGUACCUGCAGAAGAAGCACCGGCUAACUACGUG